AGCAUAGCGAUUUGGGAUAAGUCCCUUGGAAGAGGGCAGCAUGGAGGGUGAUACUCCCGUCUCUGCUCAGGUUGUCUGUGUGUACGAUACGCUUUCUUUGAGUCGAGUUGUUUGGGAAUACAGCUCAAAGUAGGUGGUAAAUUCCAUCUAAAGCUAAAUAUUGGUGCGAGACCGAUAGCGAACAAGUACCGUGAGGGAAAGAUGAAAAGAACUUUGAAAAGAGAGUUAAAGAGUACCUGAAACUGUUGAAAGGGAACCGUAUCGUUUCUAGUGUUUAUCCUAUGCAUAUUUCAUUGGCGGUUGCAAAAUUGCUGGUGCCCUGUGCAUGGGUGUGACGUCAGAGUCAGUUUAAAUUGCGGGAGAUGGGUAGGGAGGAGGUGCGUCACUUCGGUGAAAGUUACAGCUCUCUGCCUAGUAGCCGUGGUUGAGACUGAGGUGCC
rnacentral:rRNA from 2 species